rnacentral:rRNA from 1 species
GCCGGUGUCGAUGACGCGGAGGUCCCACCUGUUCCCAUUCCGAACACAGAAGUUAAGCUCCGUUGUGCCGAAAAUACUUGGCUGGAGACGGCCUGGGAAGAUAGGUAGACGCCGGCU